UACGGGAGGCAGCAGUAGGGAAUCUUCCGCAAUGGACGAAAGUCUGACGGAGCAACGCCGCGUGAGUGAUGAAGGCUUUCGGAUCGUAAAACUCUGUUGUUAGGGAAGAACAAGUUGGGUAGUAACUGACCCAACCUUGACGGUACCUAACCAGAAAGCCACGGCUAACUACGUGCCAGC
rnacentral:rRNA from 1 species